GCUCCCUCUCAGUUCCCACAAUUCCCAGCAUGGGCACAUCAUAAAGUAAUUACUACUCUAUUGUGUGGCUGUGCUGGGAAUUGUGGGAACCGUGAGGGAG